GACGAACCGUGCAAACGUUGUUCGGAAUCACUGGGCUUAAAGGGCGCGUAGGCGGGCUAUAAAGUCAGUGGUGAAAUCUUUCAGCUCAACUGGAAAAGUGCCGCUGAUACUGAUAGUCUCGAGGGAGGUAGGGGUCGAUGGAACUAAUGGUGGAGCGGUGAAAUGCGUAGAUAUCAUUAGGAACGCCGGUGGCGAAAGCGAUCGACUGGACCUCUUCUGACGCUGAGGCGCGAAAGCUAGGGGAGCAAACGGG
rnacentral:rRNA from 1 species